AACUGCAUCGGAAACUGUUUUUCUUGAGUGCAGAAGAGGAGAGUGGAACUCCAUGUGUAGCGGUGGAAUGCGUAGAUAUAUGGAAGAACACCAGUGGCGAAGGCGGCUCUCUGGUCUGCAACUGACGCUGAGGCUCGAAAGCAUGGGUAGCGAACAGGAUUAGAUACCCUGGUAGUCCAUGCCGUAAACGAUGAGUGCUAAGUGUUGGGAGGUUUCCGCCUCUCAGUGCUGCAGCUAACGCAUUAAGCACUCCGCCUGGGGAGUACGACCGCAAGGUUGAAACUCAAAGGAAUUGACGGGGGCCCGCACAAGCGGUGGAGCAUGUGGUUUAAUUCGAAGCAACGCGAAGAACCUUACCAGGUCUUGACAUCUAGUGCAAUCUGUAGAGAUACGGAGUUCCC
rnacentral:rRNA from 1 species